rnacentral:misc_RNA from 1 species
AACGCACAUUGCACUCCUUGGUAUUCCGAGGAGUACGCCUGUUCGAGCGUCAUUACACUCUCAAGCUCGGCUUGGAUUUGAAUCACUGUCGUGGCAGGAUUCCAAUAGUGUCGGCAAUUGACCAUCUGUGAUGACUCACUGGGAGUUAAUUCGCCGGAAACCCUUCUUUCCAGUUGACCUCGGAUCAGGCGGGGAUACCCGCUGAACUUAA